AAUGCCGUCUUGAGACCACCAUGAUAUGGAGAAACUCCCCGGGAAGGAGCCCAGGUGAAAGGCCAUGUGGAGAGAGAGGUCCAGCCAUUCCAGGCUUUGCAGAUAAGUUCAAACCCUGGCCAAUUAGCCAGCUUAAUGCAGCAUAUGAGGGAGCCCAGGGUUUCUGCAAGUGGAUUAAUCAGCCCUGUGUAUUCAUUCUACCACCAGAGCAACAAUUCAUUUUGAUUAUUAUGUUACGAAUACCAGCGACAUUCAAUAGACCUUGCAGAGAAAUGUAUAUGAGCUUGGGCAAAUAUCCACUGUAGCACACGAGACAGAUCAGAUAAUAAUAGCAGCUGCAGGUUCUGGAACAUCACAGAGUCCCUCCAUGAUACCCACUGAAUUGGAAUGUCAACCUGGUGAUGUAGUUCAUCCUUAUCACCUAAAAA
rnacentral:lncRNA from 1 species